rnacentral:rRNA from 1 species
UACGGAGGAUGCAAGCGUUAUCCGGAAUGAUUGGGCGUAAAGCGUCCGCAGGUGGCUGUGUAAGUCUGCUGUUAAAGAGUGAGGCUCAACCUCAUAAAAGCAGUGGAAACUACACGGCUAGAGUGCGUUCGGGGCAGAGGGAAUUCCUGGUGUAGCGGUGAAAUGCGUAGAUAUCAGGAGGAACACCGGUGGCGAAGGCGGCAUCCUGGACUGGUCCUGACACUCAUGAGCGAAAGCGUGGGGAGCGAUCCGG